rnacentral:rRNA from 1 species
GACGUAGGUGGCGAACGUUAUCCGGAAUUAUUGGGCGUAAAGGGUGCGUAGAUGGCUUGAUAAGUUAGCAGUGGGAAAUCGAGGCUCAACCUCGUGGAAGCUGGUAAUACUGUCAGGCUCGAGUGCAGGAGAGGUUAACGGAACUCCAUGUGGAGCGGUAAAAUGUGUAGAUAUCAUUUGGAACGCCAAUGGUGAAAACAGGUAGCUGGGGUUGUGCUGACGUUGAGACACGAAAGCCAGGGGAGCGAACGGG